rnacentral:lncRNA from 1 species
CUGACUAUGAAGUGUCGCCCCUGAUGUUCUCUCUGGCAUCUCUUGCAGGCUGCCAUGCUUAGUGGUAAAUUCCCUCCCCUGGAGAGGCAGUCACAGCUGUGUGUCCUACGAAAGGACUGAGCUGCUUGCUGCGUGCAAAGUAGAAGAAAACCAGUGUAAAUCGCAGUCCUAAUUGCCCAUAUGGGAGAUUUGCAAAGAAGGAAGUGAGUACAAUGAAAGAGCAGGGCAAGUCGUAAGCAGAAGGCUGAGACCGGAGUGCUGAGGGAAAAGCAGCCACCAUAUCAAGAAGUUCAGAAAUUGUUUCUGCUACUGCUGCUGAGGAUUCAAAGAGGGUUUUAGAAUAAAACAAAGUCCGCUGGUGUGAGGACUGAACUCCAUUUUCUGUGUGAGUCUGAGUAAAGAGAAAGAUAAACAGAACCUUUCACCGAUAGGCAUAUUUUAGAGUUCAAGUGUGACAUGAUGUGUCCAAAAUAGAUUCCACAUGAUUGGAGCAGAUCCAGAAUCCCAGUCCCUGAAUAGCAAUCAGUGUUGGAAGCUAAGAGCCGGCAUCCACUAUCAUCACAUGAAACAUGGAAGAAACGGCAAAUCCUAUACAGCUGUUAGUGAGUAAGGACAAGCCAUACAUGGAGCUGUAUGCUAUGGGCACAUUUUCUUAAAUUACACAGCUUAUUUUAAAUUGAGGGUCUAUUUGACUUUUUACAUGUCUUUUAAUGAAUACCCAGACUUUACAAAACUUUCUUUUCAUGAAUUUUCCUUUCAAAGAAGGAGAGUUAUGCUCUUUGCAAUAUUCAAUCCAGGCAGAACUAAUGACCCAAGGGC